rnacentral:misc_RNA from 1 species
AGUCGUAACAAGGUUUCCGUAGGUGAACCUGCGGAAGGAUCAUUACCGAGUGAGGGCCCUCUGGGUCCAACCUCCCACCCGUGUCUAUCGUACCUUGUUGCUUCGGCGGGCCCGCCGUUUCGACGGCCGCCGGGGAGGCCUUGCGCCCCCGGGCCCGCGCCCGCCGAAGACCCCAACAUGAACGCUGUUCUGAAAGUAUGCAGUCUGAGUUGAUUAUCGUAAUCAGUUAAAACUUUCAACAACGGAUCUCUUGGUUCCGGCAUCGAUGAAGAACGCAGCGAAAUGCGAUAAGUAAUGUGAAUUGCAGAAUUCAGUGAAUCAUCGAGUCUUUGAACGCACAUUGCGCCCCCUGGUAUUCCGGGGGGCAUGCCUGUCCGAGCGUCAUUGCUGCCCUCAAGCACGGCUUGUGUGUUGGGCCCCCGUCCCCCUCUCCCGGGGGACGGGCCCGAAAGGCAGCGGCGGCACCGCGUCCGGUCCUCGAGCGUAUGGGGCUUUGUCACCUGCUCUGUAGGCCCGGCCGGCGCCAGCCGACACCCAACUUUAUUUUUCU